ensembl:snoRNA Small nucleolar RNA SNORA15
GCAGGGCUGAAGACUGCGGUUUUUUUUAAUCAGUGGUUUACAUAGCCAGACACCAGGCAGAAAAGAAAAGAGUGGUCUUCCCUUUAAAGUGGUUAUAAUCAUGUGCUAAGUUUCCCCCCCCCCCAUAACAUAUCAUUAUUCAAGGGAAAUACAAAG